GCGGCUCAAUGACUUUGUAUCACUGUGGUGGACUUUUGGUGGAGGAACCAGACUGGAAUUUGGAAGUGAUGUCCGUCCCACCCUGACGGUGCUGCCCCCCUCCAGCGAGGAGCUGCAGCAGGGGAAGGCCACGCUCAUGUGCCUGGCCAACAAGGGCUUCCCCUCAGACUGGAGUCUGGCCUGGAAGGUGGACGGCAGCGGCAGCAUCAGCUGGGAGGAGAGCAGGAGCCCCGGGGUGCUGGAGAAGGACGGCCACUACAGCUGGAGCAGCACCCUGAGGCUCCCUGCAGACCAGUGGAGGAAGGUGGGCUCUGUGACCUGUGAAGCCACCCAGGGCUCCCAGACUCCGCUCUCAGAGACACUGAGGAGAGACCAGUGUUCCCAGUCCUGACCUGAUUCACUUGGACUCUGCUACUGGUUUCACUCUGCUACUGCUCUCUGUCUUCUCUCUCUCUCUCUCUGGUUCUCUCUUUCUCUUUCGACAUUAACGUCUUCUUGGUUGUGUUGAUGUUUUCAACAUUUUAAAACAAUAAAGAUUUUAUCAUGUGUAUUAUAAAAGUGA